rnacentral:rRNA from 1 species
GACGAACGCUGGCGGCGUGCUUAACACAUGCAAGUCGAACGGAAAGGCCCUGCUUUUGUGGGGUUCUCGAUUGGCGAACGGGUGAGUAACACGUGAGUAACCUGCCCUUGACUUUGGGAUAACUUCAGGAAACUGGGGCUAAUACCGGAUAGGAGCUCCUGCUGCAUGGUGGGGGUUGGAAAGUUUCGGCGGUUGGGGAUGGACUCGCGGCUUAUCAGCUUGUUGGUGGGGUAGUGGCUUACCAAGGCUUUGACGGGUAGCCGGCCUGAGAGGGUGACCGGCCACAUUGGGACUGAGAUACGGACCAGACUGCUACGGGAGGCAGCAGUGGGGAAUAUUGCACAAUGGGCGGAAGCCUGAUGAAGAAACGCCGCGUGCGGGAUGACGGCCUUCGGGUUGUAAACCGCUUUCGCCUGUGACGAAGCGUGAGUGACGGUAAUGGGUAAAGAAGCACCGGCUAACUACGUG